rnacentral:rRNA from 1 species
AUUGAACGCUGGCGGCAUGCCUUACACAUGCAAGUCGAACGGUAACGCGGGGCAACCUGGCGACGAGUGGCGAACGGGUGAGUAAUGUAUCGGAACGUGCCCAGUAGUGGGGGAUAGCCCGGCGAAAGCCGGAUUAAUACCGCAUACGACCUGAGGGUGAAAGCGGGGGAUCGCAAGACCUCGCGCUAUUGGAGCGGCCGAUAUCAGAUUAGCUAGUUGGUGGGGUAAAGGCCUACCAAGGCGACGAUCUGUAGCUGGUCUGAGAGGACGACCAGCCACACUGGGACUGAGACACGGCCCAGACUCCUACGGGAGGCAGCGGUGGGGAAUUUUGGACAAUGGGCGAAAGCCUGAUCCAGCCAUACCGCGUGCGGGAAGAAGGCCUUCGGGUUGUAAACCGCUUUUGUCAGGGAAGAAAAGGCUCGAACUAAUACUUUGGGCUCAUGACGGUACCUGAAGAAUAAGCACCGGCUAACUACGUGCCAGCCGCCGCAGUAAAAC